AUGAUAACAAUUAGUGGCAGACGGGUGAGUAAUGCAUAGGAAUCUACCUAGUAGUAUGGGAUAGCCACUAGAAAUGGUGGGUAAUACUGUAUAAUCCCUGCGGGGGAAAGAUUUAUCGCUAUUAGAUGAGCCUAUGUUAGAUUAGCUAGUUGGUAGGGUAAAGGCCUACCAAGGCAGUGAUCUAUAGCUGGUCUGAGAGGAUGAUCAGCCACACUGGAACUGAGAUACGGUCCAGACUCCUACGGGAGGCAGCAGUGGGGAAUAUUGGACAAUGGGCGCAAGCCUGAUCCAGCUAUGCCGCGUGAGUGAGGAAGGCCUUAGGGUUGUAAAACUCUUUCAGUGGGGAAGAUAAUGACGGUACCCACAGAAGAAGUCCCGGCAAACUCCGUGCCAGCAGCCGCGGUAAUACGGAGGGGGCAAGCGUUGUUCGGAAUUAUUGGGCGUAAAGGGCAUGUAGGCGGUUCGGUAAGUUAAAGGUGAAAUGCCAGGGCUUAAC
rnacentral:rRNA from 1 species